CCUACGGGGGGCAGCAGUGAGGAAUAUUGGUCAAUGGGCUUACGCCUGAACCAGCCAAGUCGCGUGAGGGAAGACUGCCCUAUGGGUUGUAAACCUCUUUUGUCAGGGAGCAACGCCGGCUACGUGUAGCCGCACUGAGAGUACCUGCAGAAAAAGCAUCGGCUAACUCCGUGCCAGCAGCCGCGGUAAUACGGAGGGUGCGAGCGUUAAUCGGAAUUACUGGGCGUAAAGCGCUCGUAGGCGGUAUGUCAAGUCAAGGGUGAAAUCCCCGCGCUCAACGUGGGAACUGCAUUUGAAACUGGCAAACUGGAGUGUGUGAGAGGAUAGUGGAAUUCCAGGUGUAGGAGUGAAAUCCGUAGAGAUCUGGAGGAACAUCAGUGGCGAAGGCGACUAUCUGGCACAUAACUGACGCUGAGGAGCGAAAGCGUGGGGAGCAAACAGGAUUAGAUACCCUGGUAGUC
rnacentral:rRNA from 1 species